AUUGAACGCUGGCGGCAGGCCUAACACAUGCAAGUCGAGCGAGCGGCGGACGGGUGAGUAAUGUCUGGGAAACUGCCUGAUGGAGAGGGAUAACUAAUGGAAACGGUAGCUAAUAACACAUACCAUCAGAUGUGCCCAGAGGGGAUUAGCUAGUGGGUGGGGUAAUGGCUCACCUAGGCGACGAUCACUAGCUGGUCUGAGAGGAUGACCAGCCACACUGGAACUGAGACACGGGCCAGACUCCUACGGGAGGCAGCAGUGGGGAAUAUUGCACAAUGGGCGAAAGCCUGAUGCAGCCAUGCCGCGUGUGUGAAGAAGGCCUUCGGGUUGUAAAGCACUUUAAGCUGGGAGGCGUUACCAGCAGAAGAAGCACCGGCUAACUCCGUGCCAGCAGCCGCGGUAAUUC
rnacentral:rRNA from 1 species